CCUACGGGAGGCAGCAGUGGGGAAUAUUGCACAAUGGGGGAAACCCUGAUGCAGCAACGCCGUGUGAAGGAAGACGGUUUUCGGAGUGGAAACUUGUAUCUAUAGGGGAGUAAGAAAUGACGGUAGCGAAAUAAGAAGCCUCGGCUAAGUACGUGCCAGCAGCCGCGGUAAUACGGAGGGGGCAAUCGUUAGCCGGAAUUACUGGGUGUAAGGGAAGAGUAGGCGGCAAGGUAAGCGAUCUGUGAAAGCCUUAAGCUUAACUAAAGGAUUGGAUAACGAACUAUCUAGCUAGAGUACAGGGGAGGAAAGCGGAAUUCCUAGUGUAGCGGUGAAAUGCUUAGAUAUUAGGAAGAACACCAGUGGCGAAGGCGGCUUUCUGCAGUGAAACUGACGCUGAGGCUCGAAAGCGUGGGGAGCGAACAUGAUUAGAUACCCGUGUAGUC
rnacentral:rRNA from 1 species